ACAGAUUUAUCAUCAUCAGGUAGUAUUCAUGUACACUUUGUCUUCAGUGAGAACAUUUCUAUUUCUCAUCACAGAUUCUCCUGCUGAACGUCUCCACAGGUCAAACUCUGACAUGUGGUCCAUACGAGUAUGAGACACCUGGUGGAUGCUGUGCUGUGUGUCCACAUGGAAGCUGAAAACACUUUUCUCUGGGAGUGUGUUACCUGUCCUGGUUUGGAGUUACAUUUCUCUUGGUCUUAAAUCUGCGUUGGUUCAAACAGAUGAGGAAUCUGUGCUGGUCUUCUGUUACAGAGAGAAUGAGACCUGGAUCAGCUGCAGUGUUUCUGAGUCUCCUGAUGAACGUCUCCACAGGUCAAACUCUGACAUGUGGUCCAUACAGUUAUGAGACAUCUGGUGGAUGCUGUCCUAUGUGUCCAGCUGGUAAGAUCCUCAUGAAUGUUAAAGAAUCUUUAAUUAAAGUUUAUCAGGUUAGUUUCAAUGUCCCUAUUUUAAAUAAAUAACCUGUGACUAACUAAAAACAUGCAAAAGCUGUUUAAUAUUUGUAUUGUUUUCAACAUAUACAUUUAAAGAACAUUUACCUUUACAAUUACCUUUAAACAUAUUCAUUAUAUAUUAUCGUCCUCUGUUCCACUUACCGUCUUCCUGUUCCUCCUUUUUUCGC